CUGACUUGUGAGAACGGACGAUUACGAAGGCACGGUGACUUUGAAUUUUUCUCUCAGCCUCUCAUUGUCUCACUCUCAUCUUUGCGAGCCCUCGAUAUGGUGCCGCCUGCGUCGGCUUUCUUCCAUCGACACCAUUAGUGGAAGCCAAAUCCCAAUUCAUCAAAUCACGAUUACUUCAGUCUCAAAUUAUACCUUAAUAUCCUCUCUCGUCCCUAUUAGUUGCCACUGCUAAAGAGGCUCACAAGUUGUGAAGAUAACAAAUUCAUUUCUUUCCCAACUUAAAUGCCCCAUGGCAGGCACAUUCUACAGAAGUCUAGCACUUGGUGAACCACCAUUCAUGAAGCCUUUGUUUUUUAUUGAACCAUAAAGCAGACAGAGUUAGAAGCGUGGAAUAAGAUGCUCUGUCUUAUAUUUAAGGGGGUGAUUACGCCCAAAGAAUAAUGCGAAGUUGCAGUAUAGCUUUGGGGUGUCAUAUCUACAGAGAGAUGGAAAAUAAUCCAAAAAAUCAAAAGUUGGGGUUUUGUUGUGAUUUUAUGUGAAUGUAAUGUGUCAAUUGAAAUAGAAUUCAAAUAAUAAUGUAUAAGUUAAGGAAAUUUAAACCAAUGUGUGAAGCAGUGAAGCGCUGAAAUUCCCUCGAUUAGAUUGGAUCAAUCAACGUCAAUUUUGCAUGAAGAUACUCAAUUAAAGGUUUUUUUUAUCCUAACACUUUAAUUGGAAGAUUUACACAUUCAAAGCCCUCUUUAAUUCCAAAUCUAAAUUUCUUGUACAACAUAAUUCCACAAUUGUUUAUUAAAAUUAGAUCAAAAAUCGGUCAUAUACUUCAAGCAAAUGAUAGUAAAAGAUCACACUAAUAAACGGUUUGAAAUUGAAAAUCAAUAAAUAUUUCGAUCAUUUGAUAAAAAAAACUUGAUUGAAAUCAUGAAAAUCUAAUAUGAAUUAACCCAAUCUCAAACAUGCCCAACAAGUAUAAGAAAUCUAAUUUCAGAAUUUUUAACAAUGAAAAAACAAAUUACAUGAAAGAAAGAACGUUGAAAAAAUCAAAUCUAACCGGAUUCUUUCAUAGCUUCACCAAUUAAUUUAGUUUUCCGUAGAUUUCUUGAGCCAAACUUGAGAGAAAAUUGAUAGGAGAUGGAACAAACGUGUUCUGGUCGAGAUUAAGGGUUUAAAAGUCGUGUGAAAACUUUUUACCGUAAGUCUUGGAGUCAAUUUAGGAAAAUGAAAUUUUUCAUCUCGAGAAGCACCUAUGCGACCGCAUAGUUAUAAGCCAUGCGGUCGCAUAGUACAUUACGGCCAUGACUUCCUUGGAAUGGUGGAUGCGACCGCAAGGAAUUUACUCUAUGCAACCACAUUGUUUCCCAUUUUCUCAAGUCGGAUAACUUUCAGUAUUUUAGUCAUAACUUUCUCUCUCGAUAUCCGAUUGAGGUGAUUCAAAUUGCGUUAGAAAUUUAACUCAAAGGAAUACAAUUUUGAUUCAGUUAUCAUCUUCUCAUUUGAUUGUUUUCCAUGUCAAAAACAGGUCCCAAUAUGAGGCUGAAAACGGUACGUAACUUUUUUCAAUUGGGAAUUGAUGUACGAUCAAACAUUGACGUUAUUUCAUCCUUUUGACUUCUUUUCUCAUCCACUUGACCUCUAAUACUUUCGAAUAUUCAUCAUAAGGUUAGACACAAGUUUGGAGUAUUUGUAUUUUGGUCCCUGAACUUUCACUUACUUCCAUUUUGGUUCAUUUUCGCUCUUUUCUACCAAGUUUCACAUUUUCUACCAAAAUGCAACUUGAAUCAUAACAUAAGUAUAAUGAGUUUAUUUUGACAUCAAAUAAUCAUACGAAUACAACAAUUAAGAGGGAAAAAUGUCAUAUUUUACACUGUUAUUACACCCCCAACUUGCUUAUUACUAGUCCCUAGCAAUUCAAUGUAAAACAAUCAAAUGAAGUAUUAGACCGUAAUAUAAAUGAAAUUAUUAAGUUCCAACUUAACUGGAAUUCAUGCUCUUUUCAAACUCAACACCACAAGAACUUAAUGAUGCCAUGAUCAUCAAGAUAUCAAAAACACUUGCCAAAUGUGUGAGUGUGUGUCAAGCGAUGGCCAUCUUGCUGCCAACCCUAACACAUGCAACAUCAAGUAUGUCUCAAGCUGAAUGUUCAAUCCCACAACUCAUGGGUAUCAAAGUGUUUAGUAUGGCUUUCUCUCUAUGGAGCUGAGAAAGGGAUACACUCAAAAUUUGGAGGCUUAAAUGUUUAUGAAUGAGCAACAAGCAAACAUUGAUCUUAUGACAGACAUGCUGUCAAAUGAAAAUUCAUCACUUUCUUACCACAAUCAUACUUAGGAUCAAAACAGUCAAAGUAAAAGGUUUGUAAUAUGGUGCAAGUUGGAUUAUAUGAAAAGAGGGAUAUAAAGAUCCAGACACUUCGAAGUACAUAGCUAAGUAUAUUAUCACACAUUUCAACAGUUCACCCUUUUUAAUGAAUGCAUUCUUCCAUAUUUCAAUUCCCAAAAUCAAUAAGUAUUUUCUUCUAUACCCCACUUUUUUUCUUUUUUUUUUAUCCGUCUUGCUUGAGUACAUACUAACUCUUGUCAUUUUCUUGUUUCUAUUUUUCACAAAUAAACAUUUAAUACCUACUACACACUUGGAAGUAAAAAUGUGAAAAAAUACAUGUAUAGGCUACUUUCCAGUAUAGAGAAGUAUGUAUAACAUGAGUGUAUGAAGAAAAGACUAUAUAAGUGUUUAUGGCUCAACAUGGCUUCUAGAGGGUUGUAAUUAUUGAAAAAGAAGGUGUGAAAAGCUUAUAUAUUAAUCCUAAAUUGACCUUUAUCAUUUCCCAAUUAAUCCACCAUCUUACCAUGAACCAAUUGUUCUCAAAAUAGUUUCCAAUUCACAAAACUAAUGAAUGCUUAUUGCUUUUUUAGUUUAAGGUGGCUCUCGAUCCUCACUAAUUUUCACAAGAAAACUUUAGCAAGAAACUCCUCUAGUUAAAUGUGUUAAACUACUAUCUUAGUACAAGGUUUAUGUGCACAAAAUGAUUCAGCAAAUGUCUCAACAUCUAGACGCAUAUGAACAAUAUUAACUCCUAGUGGCAUAUUUUGUCAUUCAAGAACAUAAACAUGUAGCUAAUUAGGGACUCAAAAAAAUUUAAACCAAAAUUCCAUGUAAAUCAUUCAAUUCAUAACAAAAUUUAAGUUAAACUCUUCCCCCAACUAAACAUUGCAUUGUUCUCAACGCAAAAACAUGUCUGUCAUAUAAAGGUAAGGAAAGAUAUCACCUAAGUGCCUAAGUGAAUCACAUGAGCUAAAACAUAAACUAAAAAAAUGCAAAACACACUAAAAAAAUUUUGAAACUAAUAUACAGAAACACAAAGUGAAAAACGUACUUAAAGGGUGUUAUGGGUGGUAAACCGGGUCUGCAAGAGAAAUUUCUUCCAAUGCAGGGACCUGUUGUGCAUACAGUAUUUUGAGUCUCUGUGCAUUCACUUUGAAUACCCUACAAUCAUUAGGGUCCUCAAUUUCAAACGUCCUAUUUUCAAAAGCUCGUGUUACUAUAAAGGAGCCAGUCUACCUAGAGCGGAGUUUUCUCGGGUAUUUGUGAAGUCUAGAAUCAUACAAAUACACUUUCUGGUUUAGUUGAAAAGUUUUUCUCACAAUGUUUUUAUCGUGAAAUGCUCUCAUUUUUUACUUGUAGAUUCUAGAACUUUCAUAGGCAUCAUUUCUUAACUUCUCUAACUCACUCAAUUGAAAUUUUCUAUGUUUACCUCCAUCUUCUAGAUCAAAGUUGAAGUGUUUAAUGGCCCAAAAGGCUCGAUACUCAAGUUCGAUAGGCGAAUGGCAAGACUUUCUAAAGAUUAGUCUAUAAGGUGACACGUCUAGGAAAGUCUUAAAAGUUGUACGAUAAGCCCAAAGUAUAUCAUUCAAUCUCAACGAUCAAUCCUUAUGAUUAGGGUUCAACGUUUUUUUCAAAUUUUGUUUAAUUUUCCUAUUAGCCAAUUAUAUUUCUCCACUAGUUUGUGGUUGAUAAGAAGUGGAAAUUUUGUGAAUCAUCCCAUAUUUUUUUCAUUAGUGCCUCGAAUGAACAGUUGCAAAAGUGUGGGCCUCUAUCAUUAAUGAUAACACGUGGUUUACCAAAUCGAGACAUAAUAUUUUCUUUAAGGAGUUUAACAAUCGUUUUAUUCUCAAUGGCUCUACAAGCAACCGUCUCUAUCCACUUAGACAAGUAGUCUAUAGCCACAAUGAUGUAUAAAUAGCCAAAAGAGAGUGGAGAAGAUCCCAUAAAGUCAAUGCCCCAACAAUAAAAAACUUUAACUACCAAAAUUAGAUCUAAAGGCAUCAUAUUACAAUGGAAAAUAGCACCUAGUUUUGGACACCUCUCAUAAGAUUUACAAUAGGCAUCAGUGUUUUUAAACAAGGUGGACCAAUAAAAACCACAUUGCAAAAUUUUUGCAGCACUCUUUUUCAUAGAAAAGUGGCCCCCACAAGCUUGGAUAUGGCAAAAAUCUAGUACACUGAUUAUCUCCUCAUCAAGAAUACAUCGUCUCAAUAUUUGAUCGGGCCAAUACUUAAAUAAACAAGGGUCAUCCUAAUAAAAGUUAUGUACCUCAACCAAGAAUUUUCUCUCAUCCUGUACACUCCACUCCUUUGGGAUUUCACCUGCAGCCAAGUAAUUCACAAUAUUAGCAAACCAUGGUAGAGAAGAGAUAGUAAAUAAAUUUUCAUUAGAAAAUUCAUCUCUAAUUGGCAAGGUGUUUGAUUUGUCUUCAAAGGUCAGUCUUGACAGAUGGUUUGCUACAACAUUUUUCACUCUCUUCUUAUCUUUGAUAAUGAUGUCAAAUUUCUACAAAAGCAAGAUCCAACUUAUUAGUCUUGCCUUAGCAUCCUUCUUUUCAAGAAUGUGUUUAAGGACUGCAUGAUUUGUGAAAAUUGUAAUAGGAGAGCCAAUUAAAUAGGAUCAAAACUUAUCAAGCGCAAAUAUUACCGCUAGUAAUUUUUUUCAGUAGUGGAAUAAUUUAUUUGAGCACUAUUUAGAGUUCUACUAGCAUAGUAAAUCACAAAAGGCUUACCUUCUUUUCAUUGCCCUAGAACAGCAUCAUAAAUGAUUUCAAAUGGUAAUGUCCAAUUAGUUGUUUGUAUUAUGGGUGCAGAGUUGAGUUUACCAUUCAACAAUUCAAAUGCAUUUGACAUUUAGGUAUCCAUUCAAAAGUCACAUCUUUGUUUAGCAAGUUGCAUAGGGGUCUAUAUACGGAUGAGAAAUUUUGUAUAAACCUCUUAUAAAAACCUACAUGACCAAGAAAUGAUCUAGUGUUCUUUACUGUCUUAGGUGUAAGUAAUUUAGAGAUCAAUUCAAUUUUUGACUUGUCUACUUCUAUUCCUUUUGAAGAAAUAACAUGUCCUAAGACAAUACUGGAAGAGACCAUGAAAUGAUAUUUUUUUCAAUUCAAAACUAAGUCUUUUUCUUCACAUCUAGCCAAUACUUUUUUCAAAUUUAACAAGCAUGUAUCAAAUGAGGUCCCAAAAACAAUCAAGUCAUCCAUAAAAACUUCCAUGCAAUCCUCUGCCAUAUCACUAAAUAUACUCAUCAUGUAUCUUUGAAAUGUGGUAGGGACAUUGCAAAGUCCAAAUGACAUUCUACAAAAUGCAUAGGAACCAAAAGGACACAUGAAUGUGGUUUUUUCCUGAUCUUCUAAACCAAUCUCAAUUUGAUAGUAUCCUGAAUGGCCAUCUAGAAAACAGUAAAAGGGAUGACCAGCCAUAUGUUCAAGUAUUUGGUCCAAAAAGGGAAGGGAAAAAUAGUCCUUGUGAGUGGCAGCAUUUAACUUCUUAUGAUCAAUGCACACGCACCAACCAGUUACCGUUUUUUGUAGGGACCAAUUCACCUAUUUCAUUUUUUACUACAGUGACACCUGACUUCUUGGGGCUACCUAUGUAGGGCUAACUCAUUUACUAUCUGCAAUUAGGUAAAUGAUUCCUGCAUCUAGCAAUUUAAGCACCUCAUUCUUUACCACUUUUUUCAUUGUGGGGUUUAGCCUACAUUGUGUGUCUCUCCUAGAAUUAGUCCCUUCCUCUAGAUAAAUCCUAUGUGAACAAAUUAAAGGACUAAUACCUUUGAUGUUGGCUAUGGUCUACCCUAAUGUAGAUUUGUGUUCAUUCAUAAUGCUUAAAAGUUGUUUACAUUGUAAUGCAUCCAAUUCUGACGAAAUAAUGAUAGGAAAGGUAUUACCUGGUCUAAGAAACACAUGUUUCAGUCCUAUAGGAAGUUGUUUCAAUUUUGACCUAGGGCUUUCAAUACUUGAUGGUUUCUGUCCUCCGGUCCUUUCUGGCAAUUUCUCAAACUUGGGUUGCCAUGGUGAAGUCCUUUGGUCCUGGAAUUUUUCAAAAAUAGUACAAAUGUUAGCAUACUCAUCAACAUCAAAACCACAUGAAAUUUUAUAAUUUAGGAGAAAAGAGUUCAAAAGAUCAGAAUCAAUUGUUGUGGAUGCUUCCUUUUGAGUAAAUGCAUCAAUCAUGUAGGUUUAAUGGCAUUCAUCAUCUUCUGUAGGUUGUUUGGUGACAUGGAAAAUAUUGGCAUCUAUAGUCAUAUCUCCAUAUGUCAGUUUCAUCAGACCAUUCCUGCAAUUGAUAAGAGGAUUAGCUGUAGCAAGGAAAGGUCUACCAAGUACAAUAAGGAUUUUAGAAUUAAUAUCUACCUCAACCUUCACAUCUAAUACCAAGAAAUCAAUGGGGUAGUAAAAUUUAUCAACCUAAACUAACACAUCCUCAACUACUCCCCUUGGUUGUAUGGUGGACUGGUCAACUAAUUGUAGAACCACUGAGAUAGGUUUCAUCUCUCCUAGACCUAACAACAAGUAUAUAGCAUAGGAUAUGAGGUUGACACUAGCUCCUAAAUUAAGAAGGACUUGUGCAAACUCACGAUUCCCAAUGACACAAAAAAUGGUAAGACGAUCAGGGUCCUUAUAAUUUGGUUGGAUUUUUUUGUUCUAUCACGGUACUCACUUGCUUGGUCAAGAAGGCAGUUUUUUUGGUAUGAUGCUUCCUUUUUACAAUGCAUAAAUCCUUAAGGACUUUAAUAUAUGUAAGAACUUGAGAGAUCACAUGCAAGAGGGGCAAAUUGAUUUUGACUAGUCUGAGGUGUUCUAGGAUAUCAUUAUACUGACCUGGUGAUUUCGAUGUGGACUUGAGAGCUUGAGGGAAAGGUAUUCUAGCUAGGUUUUCCACUACUUCCUCAUUAGGACUGCUCUCAUUAGACUUACUUGGCUCUUUUUUGUUCUCUCUAGGUGGAAGGGUAGCUUCUACAAUCUUCCCUAAUCUAAUGAUUAUGGUAUUCACCUUUUUAAAAUUGGUCUCUUCAGAUCCCGAGGUUUGUGCCAUGUGCUGCCCUUUGGGUUUAGUUAAGCUUGAGUUGGAAACUUCUCACGUUCUCCUACAGCUAAGGCAUUGGUUAACUUAGACAUAUGAUUCUUUAUCUCUUUGUUUUCCUAGACUACAAACCUAUUAUGGAUGAUUCAAUUCGGAAGGUGAGUCUCGACAAUACAUCUUUUGAUGAUAUCUAGCAUGUUGGUGAGGAUAGGAGAUGACAGAGAAAGAGGACAGUGAAGAAAAGCAAGUUUUUUAUUUAUUAUUAUUAUUAUUUUUUUAACAAGGCUAAGUUAGACAUUUUCUAGUUAGGACACCUUCUCAGUUCGGCUAGAGAACAAAGACCUAUUUAGCUUAUCUCAGUGAAAAAGUUUUCUUACCAUAGCAAUAUAAAUACUUAUGACUUUUCCAAUUUCUUUCCAGAUAAACGAUGAGAUUCAAUCGGCAGUAGAAAAGUUGGUUUCUAGAAUUGGUGAGGACUUAAACAAUGAUCCAGAUUAUAUAGGGAGGGAAAUUAAAGGAAAAUAAAGUACUGACAUUAAAAUUGCUCUAGUCGAUAAUGUAACGAAGGAUCCCGUUGACUUUGGGCCUGAAUCCUCCUGGACAAAUGUGUAGAAUAUUUAUAGGAGAAUUCCUGUCUAGGCCUACCAAAAUCCGAUCAUGAUCGUUUGACUAAUUGAAGUAAUACCAGGCAAUUUUAUCGUUUAAGGACAUGGCAUAUGAAGUGCACAUACUAAAAAAUAUUAAACCUAUUAGAUGGAACUUGGAAGGUUAUAUAUAUAUAUAUAUAUAGCCACAAUUUUAUGGUUACAGACAUAAAUGGGGGAAAGCUUUAGAAUUUGGCACUUACAACAGAAUAAUAAACAAAAUAGGUAAAUAUUUGGAAGCAUACUACAAUAAAAAUGUGAUUAGGGAUGUUUUAGAUCAAAAUUAUGCUCGAAGUAUAGACGCCUUAUCAAGAAGAAAACAGAAAAUGGACAUUUAUAUUCCUCUUCUUACUAGUAAAGAACAACUAGCAGAUUCUUUGACAAAAGAAGUGCAGAGACCUUUAUUCACCUCAAAGAAGAAAUGAUAAUCCUCAUUUUAUUUAUUUGUUUAUUUAUUUUUGCAUAUCUACUUUGGCUUACUAACUCUUUGAAGAGUGUACUCUACAAAUGCAAGACUUGCAAUUCUUUGGAGAUUGCCACUAAUUUUUUGGCUUACUACUAGAUUACUGCAUAAAAAAGGACUUGCAAUUGUUGAGAGCAAUGAGGGUUGGGGUGAGUUGCACAUGACACUAAAGCUUGGUACAAGGGCAUCUUGAAAUAUCAUUAGUUUCAUUUCAAUAUGAAUUAGAUGAAGAGAAGUUGGUUAUGUUUUUCA